UCUCCGUUGGUGAACCAGCGGAGGGAUCAUUACUGGAAUCGCAAGAUCCCACAACCCCUGUGAACCUACCGAAACGUUGCCUCGGCGGGCGCCCGGCCCCGCGCCGGGCGUCGAGCCCGCCGGUGGCCCACUACUCUGUCUCUGCAGCGUGGCAUCUCCGAGUACAAGAAAAACAAGUCAAAACUUUCAACAACGGAUCUCUUGGCUCCA
rnacentral:misc_RNA from 1 species